GGAAAUAAAAGUCGUAACAAGGUCUCCGUUGGUGAACCAGCGGAGGGAUCAUUACCGAGUUUACAACUCCCAAACCCAAUGUGAACGUUACCAAACUGUUGCCUCGGCGGGAUCUCUGCCCCGGGUGCGUCGCAGCCCCGGACCAAGGCGCCCGCCGGAGGACCAACCAAAACUCUUAUUGUAUACCCCCUCGCGGGUUUUUUUUAUAAUCUGAGCCUUCUCGGCGCCUCUCGUAGGCGUUUCGAAAAUGAAUCAAAACUUUCAACAACGGAUCUCUUGGUUCU
rnacentral:misc_RNA from 1 species